AAGGAUUUAAGUUAAACAAACUAACAACCUUCAAAGUUGUAAAUAAAGARAGCUUUAAGCCUUA
rnacentral:tRNA from 1 species